UCUCCGUAGGUGAACCUGCGGAGGGAUCAUUACUGAGUGAGGGCCCCCGGCCCGACCUCCAACCCUUUGUGUAUCUCGACCCUGUUGCCUCGGGGGCGACCCUGCCGUUUCGACGGCGAGCGCCCCCGGAGGCCAUUAAACACUGCAUCAUUGCGUCGGAGUUAAAGUAAAUUAAACAAAACUUUCAACAACGGAUCUCUUGGUUCCAGCAUCGAUGAAGAACGCAGC
rnacentral:misc_RNA from 1 species